UAUACGAAAUGGCAAAGCCAUUGAAAAAUGGUGGCGCAAAGCUAUAGGGACUAACGUUGUUUUACAACUAUGUCAGCCAGUUUCCGAA
rfam:Bacillus azotoformans LMG 9581 contig38, whole genome shotgun sequence.